AACAAACAGGAAUUGGGUUGACAAAUGAAGGCCAAUAAAUGGUAUAGCUUGUGGUGACCCUAUUUAUCGAUCGAUUUCUACACAUAAGCAAUAUAUCUACGGAGAAAAUUUGGAGAAGGAAGAUGACUAUUUGCCAAUUUGGUUCAAUAGACAUCAGCGGUAUGGUGCUAAUAGGAGAAAAGGCACGGAUUAUCAAUUGAAAAUUGAUAUUCCUAAUUUCUAUAGGG
rnacentral:misc_RNA from 1 species